rnacentral:lncRNA from 1 species
GGGGAAAAGCCAAGGGAGGACAUCAUUUGGGAGCUAGAAAGCUCAGAUCUGAUGGCACCAGGUGGAAGUGCUUCUAGACUUUGAGCAGAGUCUGGGUAAAUGAAUUCCAUCUUUAGCCCCUGACAUGAGGAGGAACCAAUGUAGAAACUGGAUGGGGAGUGGCUCUAUGCUGGUCCCUGGCCUUCUCAACAUUGUCUAUAGCUGCUUAUGAUUUGUUCUACUUGGCAUGAAUAAUAAGCAAAUCAUCCAAUAAAGAGACUCAGCUUCUAGCAAUCUGACUUGGCAACAGGGAGUCUCCUGUUGGUGGACAAAGAACCCAGCUUACAUGCUCAGACCCAGCGUGAAGUGGCCAUUGAGGUGGUGGAAGCAGAAGGAGGUUUCCGCAGAUGUUGCAAAGGGCCAAAUGGACCACAUCAAAACCCAAAGAGAGCAUGGCCAAGCUUGGCACCGUCUCCCCGUGGGCUGACAGUAGUUCACACCGGGGUGUGCCUCCUUGAGGACUUCUGAGACUUGGCUUCUUGGGUAUUCACAUGCAAAUUAGUGCUGUAGGACUUGGCUACAGAUUCCUGGGGCUGGAGUCCUAGCCUGGACCAUGAGUUACACAGGGAAGCCUUCACAGCCAAAACCCAAGCUUCGAGGCAGCAAAUACCCUCCCCUCACCUUCAGUUCCACACAUCCUGGGCAUUUUAAAGUAGGAAUUUCCUUAAAGAUGGCAAAUGACAUAGCAGGAGUUUCAACACAAUUCAGCACGGAUCCUCUGGGAGGCAGGGUGGGGAGUGCGGGUGUCUGGAUAAACAGGCUCCAAAAUCAGACCCUGCAA